rnacentral:rRNA from 1 species
GAUGAACGCUGGCGGCGUGCCUAAUACAUGCAAGUCGAGCGAACAGACGAGGAGCUUGCUCCUCUGACGUUAGCGGCGGACGGGUGAGUAACACGUGGAUAACCUACCUAUAAGACUGGGAUAACUUCGGGAAACCGGAGCUAAUACCGGAUAACAUGUUGAACCGCAUGGUUUAACAGUGAAAGACGGUCUUGCUGUCACUUAUAGUUGGAUCCGCGCCGCAUUAGCUAGUUGGUAAGGUAACGGCUUACCAAGGCAACGAUGCGUAGCCGACCUGAGAGGGUGAUCGGCCACACUGGAACUGAGACACGGUCCAGACUCCUACGGGAGGCAGCAGUAGGGAAUCUUCCGCAAUGGGCGAAAGCCUGACGGAGCAACGCCGCGUGAGUGAAGAAGGUCUUCGGAUCGUAAAACUCUGUUAUUAGGGAAGAACAAAUGUGUAAGUAACUAUGCACGUCUUGACGGUACCUAAUCAGAAAGCCACGGCUAACUACGUG